CUUAGAUUCGAAUCGAAAUCCAUCUGGUAAGGAUAUUCAAAAAAGGGUUAAGAAAGACGUUUCCGUUCUAAUUACGCUGCAGAGGACGCAAAGUUCGAUGACAGACAUGUUUCCCAUUACAAAAUUUUACAAUUUCUGAACUGUUUAAAAAAAGAGGAAAUCCCCCCUUUCCGUUUUUGGGAUGGAAAAAGGGUUAGAAACAUCCCUCGUUCACCCCACCUGGUAAAAAGUUCGACAACCGCAAGAGGAUAAGGGGACCAUGCUUUUAGGAUUUCCAUUUUUGAACAUAAUUUCGAUGGUUUAAGAAGUCGUUCUUAGGAUUAUACGACAAAUCUUUUCUUCUAAGGAGUGGGAUUUAAAUCCCUGAUUUGUGUGGACACAAGAUGCAGGAAGAUGUCAAGGAGCGGAAUUAUGGAAAUAUGGAGCGGUUAAUGGAAGACGAGAACAAUCUUUUACAACAAAAUCGACAAAACGAGUUUUUUUUUCAGUUUUUGAUGCCUUUAACAAAAUAGCUGACUUAGUUAUGAUGCAUAACGUUAUUGUUAGUAGGUGUCGGCGAAUGAAUAUUUUUUUAGAUGCCUAGGAGAAGUAAAGUCUGUGAAUCUGCUUCGAUUUUCAUAUGGAGGGCCGAUUACUAUUUUUUUCUAAGCCUUCGGUGAAAGUGAAAGUUGCUGAAUAACACCUGUUAUGCCGCCGAAAACCGUUAACAAUUCUUGGGGAUGGAGAAGAAAAGAAGAGGACGAAGAAAAAAAAAAUCUUCGCUGUGAAGAGAAAGUUCCUGCUCAACCCCCCUGCCCUUACCUGAAUUUAAGACGAUGAUAAGUAUUGCAAGUAUUCUACACCAGAGGGCGCUGGAAAAUACAAGUUUUAUAGUGGGAAAAGCGUUCUGUUCUUCAUCAAGAGCGGAGGACAGCAAUAGUGAAAGAAUGAAAAGAACUUGGAUUUAGAAGUUGGCGAUAUUUUCCCCCAAAUUGUUGUUUCACAUCAAAACACCAAACAAAAUAGAAGACAAUUAAAAACUGGCAUUUAAAUAUCUAAAAAAAACCACGCCUCUUUAUUUAAAUAUACUUGUAUUUCAUUGGACGUCUAAGUAUUGAUUUCUUUCACAUUAUGUUCAGAAUUGAAAUACUGCGCACAUAUGCAUCACGCACGAAUGCAUUUUAUCUUGCCUAUUCUUCGAAUAUCUUCCUUUUUUAUUUCUUUUUCAUAUUAAAU